rnacentral:rRNA from 1 species
CGGGUUGCUGCACCAGUGGGGAAUAUUGCACAAUGGAGGAAACUCUGAUGCAGCAACGCCGCGUGGAGGAUGAAAGGGUUUGGAGCGUAAACUCCUUUUAUAUAGGAAGAAGAUGACGGUACUAUAUGAAUAAGCGCCGGCUAACUCCGUGCCAGCAGCCGCGGUAAUACGGAGGGCGCAAGCGUUACUCGGAAUCACUGGGCGUAAAGAGCGUGUAGGCGGAUUAAAAAGUCAGAAGUGAAAUCCUAUAGCUUAACUAUAGAACUGCUUCUGAAACUCUUAAUCUAGAAUAUGGGAGAGGUAGAUGGAAUUUCUGGUGUAGGGGUAAAAUCCGUAGAGAUCAGAAGGAAUACCGAUUGCGAAGGCGAUCUACUAGAACAUUAUUGACGCUGAGACGCGAAAGCGUGGGGAGCAAACAGGAUUAGAUACCCGUGUAGUC